GGGGGUCAUUGCGAUCUACUCCGCGAUAGCAAACUCCGAAUACCGUGAAGUGCAAUUAUGGGAGACAGACGGUGGGUGCUAACGUCCAUCGCCAAGAGGGAAACAACCCAGACCGCCAGCUAAGGUCCCAAAGACAUGGUUAAGUGGAAAACGAGGUGGGAAGGCAUAGACAGUCAGGAGGUUGGCUUAGAAGCAGCCAUCCUUUAAAGAAAGCGUAAUAGCUCACUGAUCGAGUCGUCCUGCGCGGAAGGUGUAACGGGGCUCAAACCAUGCACCGAAGCUGCGGAUGCGUAUUUAUACGCAUGGUAGGGGAGCGUUCUGUAGGUCUGCGAAGGUGGCGUGUGAACGCUGCUGGACAUAUCAGAAGUGCGAAUGCUGACAUGAGUAGCGAAAUUCCUUGUCGGGUAAGUUCCGACCUGCACGAAUGGCGUAACGAUGGCCACACUGUCUCCUCCUGAGACUCAGCGAAGUUGAAAUGUUUGUGAAGAUGCAAUCUCCCCGCGGCUAGACGGAAAGACCCCAUGAACCUUUACUGUAGCUUUACAUUGGACUUUGACGGGACUUGUGUAGGAUAGGUGGGAGGCUGUGAGACGUGGUCGCUAGAUCACGAGGAGCCAACCUUGAAAUACCACCCUGGUGUCGUUGAGGUUCUAACCCAGAUCUGUGAAUCCAGAUCGGGGACCGUGUAUGGUGGGCAGUUUGACUGGGGCGGUCUCCUCCCAAAGGGUAACGGAGGAGUUCGAAGGUCUCCUAGGUACGGUCGGACAUCGUACUGAUAGUGCAAUGGCAAAAGGAGGCUUGACUGCGAGACAGACAAGUCGAGCAGGUGCGAAAGCAGGACAUAGUGAUCCGGUGGUUCUGAAUGGAAGGGCCAUCGCUCAACGGAUAAAAGGUACUCUGGGGAUAACAGGCUGAUUCCGCCCAAGAGUUCAUAUCGACGGCGGAGUUUGGCACCUCGAUGUCGGCUCAUCACAUCCUGGGGCUGUAGCCGGUCCCAAGGGUAUGGCUGUUCGCCAUUUAAAGUGGUACGUGAGCUGGGUUUAAAACGUCGUGAGACAGUUUGGUCCCUAUCUGCCGUGGGCGCUGGAUAUUUGAGGGGACCUGCUCCUAGUACGAGAGGACCGGAGUGGACCUAUCUCUGGUGUACCGGUUGUGACGCCAGUCGCAUCGCCGGGUAGCUAAAUACGGAAGAGAUAACCGCUGAAAGCAUCUAAGCGGGAAACUCGCCUCAGGAUGAGAUAUCCCGGGGGUUCAACCCCCCUAAAGGGUCGUCCUAGACCAGGACGUUGAUAGGUCAGGUGUGGAAGUG
rnacentral:rRNA from 1 species